UUAAAUAUCCUUCCAGCAGUACAAAAUAAAAGACACAUUCUGGAAACAAAAUUAACACGUCCAAGCUACUUUCUAGUAAAAGAAUGUAGUGAGAAACUACAACUUUUUAUCCAUCCAAGUUGACCAAUAUGCACAGACACCAUGUUUAACCUUCACCAACGCCUGUCAAACACCCUUCUGAUGUUCUUGCACAUGAUCCGGAAGUGGCAUUAGUGAGAUAAGAGAUGGACUCAGACACAGUGCUGGUAUUUAAAGACAGAACGCCUCCCUUUAGCUACCAGAGGCCCAGACCGAUACUGAGAGCACCAUAAGCCUUUGGUAAGGAGGACUUAACUUUAAUUCUACACAAUCAUACAUAUAUACAGUUUUAUACGCUUUAAUUUCAUACAAAAAAAAAACAAGUCAUGUACAGGUGGGGGGGCGGGGGACUAUGACCUAUUGGAGCCCAAAAAUAAAUACUGGCGACAGGUGUGUGUGGCUCAUUGGCUACCACCAGGAGCUGUGUGCUUAACCUCAAUGGAGAGACUUCCGGUCUGACCAAAUCACACAUGGAAAAAGGCAGUUUAUGUUCUUUUGUGUUUAAAAUGUUCCCAUGACUACCGCUGAGCUACUAAGAAGUCACUGAUCAAAAUAUUAAUAUGAACGUGUCACCCACACCACCCACCCCUACACACACAUGCACGC